CUUCUUCAGCGGUUAGACUAGUGCCUCUGUUGUUGAACAUGAACGCCGGGCCUCUAAUGGCCUGCCGCCUUCCCUUUUCCCUCAUCAUCGUCAUACGCCUCAGAGAUGGACUUUCUUCAAUGUACCUAGUGGUCCAGUUAGAAGUCUUUGACGAACAGAAGCUCACACAUGUCGAGCAGACUUUCUGGAUACUAGUAACUAAACUGCUCGCAGAUUGCAGACCCUGGGUACCAUCCUAUCUAGAUGGGAUCAGCUCUCACUCCAACAAAACAAUUCUGA